rnacentral:rRNA from 1 species
GACGAACGCUGGCGGCGUGCUUAACACAUGCAAGUCGAGCGGAAAGGCCCUUUCGGGGGUACUCGAGCGGCGAACGGGUGAGUAACACGUGAGUAAUCUGCCCUUGGCUUUGGGAUAACUACCGGAAACGGUGGCUAAUACCGGAUACGACGUACUCAGGCAUCUGAUGUGCGUGGAAAGUUUUUCGGCCAGGGAUGUGCUCGCGGCCUAUCAGCUUGUUGGUGGGGUAAUGGCCUACCAAGGCUUCGACGGCUAGCCGGCCUGAGAGGGUGACCGGCCACACUGGGACUGAGACACGGCCCAGACUCCUACGGGAGGCAGCAGUGGGAAUAUUGGACAAUGGGCGGAAGCCUGAUCCAGCAACGCCGCGUGAGGGAUGACGGCCUCGGUUGUAACC